UUAUAAAAGUAUUUAGUUUAAUUUUACAAUGAAAAUUAAUGUUUUGUUUAAACUAUAUAAAAAGAAAU
rnacentral:tRNA from 1 species